ACUACGAGGACGACGCUGGGCGGCGUGCUUAACACAUGCAAGUCGAGCGAUGAAGCUUCUUCGGAAGUGGAUUAGCGGCGGACGGGUGAGUAACACGUGGGUAACCUGCCUCAUAGAGGGGAAUAGCCUUUCGAAAGGAAGAUUAAUACCGCAUAAGAUUGUAGUACCGCAUGGUACAGCAAUUAAAGGAGUAAUCCGCUAUGAGAUGGACCCGCGUCGCAUUAGCUAGUUGGUGAGGUAACGGCUCACCAAGGCGACGAUGCGUAGCCGACCUGAGAGGGUGAUCGGCCACAUUGGGACUGAGACACGGCCCAGACUCCUACGGGAGGCAGCAGUGGGGAAUAUUGCACGAUGGGGGAAACCCUGAUGCAGCAACGCCGCGUGAGUGAUGACGGUCUUCGGAUUGUAAAGCUCUGUCUUUAGGGACGAUAAUGACGGUACCUAAGGAGGAAGCCACGGCUAACUACGUGCCAGCCGCUGC
rnacentral:rRNA from 1 species